rnacentral:rRNA from 1 species
AUUGAACGCUGGCGGCAGGCCUAACACAUGCAAGUCGAGCGAGCGGCGGACGGGUGAGUAAUGUCUGGGAAACUGCCUGAUGGAGGUGGAUAACAACUGGAAACGGUAGCUAAUACCGCAUACCAUCAGCAGUGCCCAGAUGGGAUUAGCUUGUAGGUGGGGUAACGGCUCACCUAGGCGACGAUCCCUAGCUGGUCUGAGAGGAUGACCAGCACAACUGGAACUGAGACACGGUCCAGACUCCUACGGGAGGUAGCAGUGGGGAAUAGUGCACAAUGGGCGCAAGCCUGAUGCAGCCAUGCCGCGUGUGUGAAGAAGGCCUUCGGGUUGUAAAGCACUUUCAGCGGGGAGGCGGUACCCGCAGAAGAAGCACAGGCUAACUCCGUGCCAGCAGCCGCGGUAAUUC